UUGAUAGAUCAAAAGUUACUCUGGUUUAUUAUCGUUGAUUAAUGAAAAAAGCAGGGAAACACAUCAUGUGUGCAUGUUUCUUUGACUUCUAAAAUCAAUUCCUAUGUUUCAGUAAUCUACAGUUGAGUUUAAGUUAAACAAACUUUACUAUUAUAUUUAUUAUAGUUAAUUUUAUCUAACUUCAAAACAAAGCACUUAAAUUGCUUUGCUGGAGGCAUAGAAAAGAGAGACGGAGAAAAAAAUGUUUUUGCAUUUGAAGGUUCUGAGAGGAUUGAGAAACUUGAGACAUACAAACAGUGGCAGGUUAGGAAUACAAGGGCUGGUUUCAAGCAGCUCCCACUGAAUGGUGAAUUAAUGGCCAAAUUCAAGACUAAGUUAAAGGAAUGGUACCAGAGAUUUUUUCUUGGAUGAAGAUAACAACUCGAUGCUUCAAGGUCGGAAAGGCCGCAUAUUGUAUGCUUCCACUUCCACAUGCUGGGUGCCAGCAUAAUGAGAUGCUGCUGAACUCGAUUCAGAACUCAUAUUAAAGGUUCUGGGAUCCUUGGUCCGGUGACCUACUUGCUUAACCUUCAGUUGCUGUGAUGAAGAUUGUACAUAGCUUUGCUUCGUGUUACUUCGUAAAUUAUGGCACGACUUUUCUGGUAGAGUCAAGAUGUGAAUGUAAUGAAAAUUCUAUAAUGAUUAAGAGGGCGUGUUAGAGUAGGUGGGUCCGUAUAGCAUGUUUGCCCCAGUACUUGCAAUAAAAAAUGCGGAGUAUUUUCUCUCUAACCAGCAUGCAUUAGGCAUUUCACAUCAUUCUAUAUAAAUUUGUAAAAUAUUUUUACAGGAUAUGUUGUCCCUCGAGCCAAAUUAGCUACUGAGUUGACAAUAUGUGAUUAAUUUGAAACAGAUGACUAUCUUAGUUUGUUUUUUUU